rnacentral:pre_miRNA from 1 species
UUGUUUGCUAUUGCAACAUCUUCAAGAUUCAGAAAUCAGAUUCUUUGUAUGGGCUCUCUCUCCUUUGGAGAACCUAUAUUAUUUGGUUUGAGAAUCUUGAUGAUGCUGCAGCGGCAAUUAA